UGCGUGAGCUUUACGGUCUCGCUGUUUGCAAUGUUUGUUCUUUUUGGGUGUACUUUUUCGUAUGGGGGCCAACAUCACUUUCGAAUAUCAUAAAAUGACCGGAGGAAUGUAGCUUCGAUCUUGUAUUGAAGUGUUAUAGCCUUUGGUAGAUGUGGUGUUUGGGACUGAGGAUUGCAACGAAUAUCCUUUGGGCUAUCCGUCUGAUCUCUGAAAGUUGCUUAGGUGCCGAAAGCGUGCUUACGGUUAUUUAAGUUGACGGUCAACAGGUUAGAACGUGAUUACAUUCGUUAAGGAUGUUGACGUAA
rnacentral:rRNA from 1 species